rnacentral:rRNA from 1 species
ACUCCUACGGGAGGCAGCAGUAGGGAAUCUUCGGCAAUGGACGAAAGUCUGACCGAGCAACGCCGCGUGAGUGAAGAAGGCUUUCGGAUCGUAAAACUCUGUUGUUAGAGAAGAACGUUGUGUAGAGUGGAAAAUUACACAAGUGACGGUAUCUAACCAGAAAGGGACGGCUAACUACGUGCCAGCAGCCGCGGUAAUACA